GCGGGGAUGCCGGAGCGGUCAAACGGGAGCGGCUCAAGCCCGCUUGGCUUAGUGCCUGCGGAGGUUCGAAUCCUCCUCCCCGCA
rnacentral:tRNA from 1 species